GGCCUCGGAGCGAAUAGUCACCCUGUGCGUGUGCGUGGCGUCAAGCCUAGUUCCGAGGCCGAAU
rnacentral:ncRNA from 17 species